UGGAGCAUGUGGUUUAAUUCGAAGCAACGCGAAGAACCUUUACCAGGUCUUGACAUCCCGAUGCUAUUUCUAGAGAUAGAAAGUUACUUCGGUACAUCGGUGACAGGUGGUGCAUGGUUGUCGUCAGCUCGUGUCGUGAGAUGUUGGGUUAAGUCCCGCAACGAGCGCAACCCCUAUUGUUAGUUGCCAUCAUUCAGUUGGGCACUCUAGCGAGACUGCCGGUAAUAAACCGGAGGAAGGUGGGGAUGACGUCAAAUCAUCAUGCCCCUUAUGACCUGGGCUACACACGUGCUACAAUGGUUGGUACAAAGGGCAGCGACACAGCGAUGUGAUGCGAAUCCCGAAAAGCCUGUCUCAGUCCGGAUCGGAGUCUGCAACUCGACUCCGUGAAGUUGGAAUCGCUAGUAAUCGUGGAUCAGCAUGCCACGGUGAAUACGUUCCCGGGCCUU
rnacentral:rRNA from 1 species